rnacentral:tRNA from 1 species
UAUAAAAUAAGAUUAUUUAAUUUUACAAUGAAAAAGUAAUGUUUUAAAAAUAAACUAUAUAAAUAAGAAA